GGGGGUGUUUUGGUUUUGACAGCGCCGGUGUCGGACGGUAAGCACGUCGGGCGUGGGAGCCUUGCCCGUUAAUCUCAGACUCCGACAAAUCAGUUGCCACAAACAACUACGCACUCGCUGCUUAAUCAGGCUUAGCCGAUUAACUUAAUCCGAGGCGCCAAGGCUGCGCUUCCGACGAGUAUCCCUCGGACUUUCCGCCUCUUAAAGGCCGAUCAAGGGGUAUCAUCCAUUUGAGGCCGCUCCGGUGGACGUAUCUAAAGCCGGCUAAGACAUAGAUGCUAAGGGUUAAGUGGCCCGCCUUCCGGCAGCCUUUCCCCGACAAUCAAAGGAAGGAUAAGCGUGUAGAAAGCCGCCUGGUGCGACGUUUGGACAGCGGUUCGAGUCCGCUCACCUCCAC
rnacentral:tmRNA from 1 species